rnacentral:rRNA from 1 species
UGUAAGCGUAUACCAAAGUUGUUGCAGUUAAAACGCUCGUAGUCGGAAUUUGGCAGUUCCGGAUGUGUGCACGUCGUGUGCGCACUUCGCGGGGAUUGCUUUUGUGGUCUUGCGUAGGAUGAGGCACUUUUAUUAGUGAACGUCCUCACGCAACCACUUUUUACCGUGAGAAAAUCAGAGUGCUCAAAGCAGGCAUUUGCCGUGAAUGUAUUAGCAUGGAAUAAUAGAAUAGGACUUGGUUCUAUUUUGUUGGUUUGUUGGGACUGAGUAUUGAUUGAGAGGGACAGUUGGGGGCAUUUGUAUUUCGGUGCUAGAGGUGAAAUUCUUAGAUUACCGAAAGACAAACUGCUGCGAAAGCGUCUGCCAAGGAUGUUUUCAUUGA